ACUAUGAGGCCAGACAUCUUUUCAUAGUUUAUCAGCCAUUUGUAUUUCUCUUUUCAUUACAUUUUGAGAAGCAAAAUUUUAAACAAUUUUUCAUUCAGUCUAAGCAAUACCAAAUAUCUUGAUGAUAGAUUAACAAAAAAGUUUUAGAUAUUUUUUCCUGGAGUCCUUCUCCUUUAUUUAGAUGACAAGCCAUAGAAUUUUAAGGUUGAAGGGUACCUUAAUGUUUGACACAUACCUGUGUAGCUUUGGUAACUUGCUGGGUUUUUCUGCUCUGAAUGGACAUGCACAUAUGGGCACUAAAUUAAUGGAGAAAUGUGAAAUGAAUGACUAAUAAGACCUUUUUCUGACCUCACUGAGAACUAAAAUGUUGAGUUGUCAGGUUAUUUGUGGCUACAAAAAUAAUACUGGCAAAUAGUCUGGGGCUAUCAAAUUCAGUUCCGUCUGUAAUUGAAUUAGAGACCCACAUCCUUUUCUCCAAGGAGAUUGGUGUACCAAACCCUGCCUUUGACAGUGUUUAGUAUUACACAAGAUUUCAGCCAAUGAACAAAGUUUCUAUUUAUGGAAAAUGUCAAGGGUGAUAAGCAUGAAAGAGUAGUAAUAUCAUUAUUUUCUAUCUAACUUAAUAAUUGGAUAUGAACAGUGAGAAAAUUUCUGCCAAACAAAUACAAAUGUUCUGUCCUAAGAAAUUGAGUUAAAGUUUCAAAGGUUUGUGGAAUCCUAAAAAUCCAAAACCAAUGCAAAACAAACACUUCAGAUGGGGGCAAUUGUAGGUAGAAAGUCCCAUGGAAAUGUGCACAGGUUUUAUGUCAAAAAGAAAAGCAUUCUUGAACAGCUAGUCCUCCCCUGCAUGGGGCUGGUGUAUUUUUGAGAAUUUGCAUAUCGUCACUUCCAAAAGGAAUAUUUUGUGGUCUCUUCCAGUUGCUUCCAUCCCUGCAUGCUCACGUGCACAUGCGCACACCUGUUCCAGGAUUGUAGUUCCUGGACUCUGAAUUCCUCAGCGUCACAGAGUUUGCAUGUCCCAUCUACAACCCUGAGUCUGGCAUAGCCCAGUUGCUCACCAAAUGUGCAUGAUGGAAUGAAAAAACAAACCUGCCAAAGCAUACCAGAAUAAAGGGUUCAGGCCCCAGAAGUUACAUUCUUGGAGAAGAAUUUGAAUCCUCAGGACUAAGAAAAUAAAAUCAGGCCCAGGUUGUUGUGUUCUUGAAGUCAUUCUUUGGUUUAUUUGGCAUAAUGAAAUCUAUAACGUCUCGUCUUUAAAUAACUAACUUCACUGAAACCCUUGUCAGCUUUAAUAGGAUUCAGAUCAGAAGAUUUUGAGCAAAAACAGUGCAAGCUACAGACAUGUGUGCAUUUUGCUAAAAGGACAGCCUCC